rnacentral:rRNA from 1 species
GAUGAACGCUGGCGGCGUGCCUAAUACAUGCAAGUCGAGCGAACAGACGAGGAGCUUGCUCCUUUGACGUUAGCGGCGGACGGGUGAGUAACACGUGGGUAACCUACCUAUAAGACUGGGAUAACUUCGGGAAACCGGAGCUAAUACCGGAUAAUAUUUCGAACCGCAUGGUUCGAUAGUGAAAGAUGGCUUUGCUAUCACUUAUAGAUGGACCUGCGCCGUAUUAGCUAGUUGGUAAGGUAACGGCUUACCAAGGCAACGAUACGUAGCCGACCUGAGAGGGUGAUCGGCCACACUGGAACUGGAACACGGUCCAGACUCCUACGGGAGGCAGCAGUAGGGAAUCUUCCGCAAUGGGCGGAAGCCUGACGGAGCAACGCCGCGUGAGUGAUGAAGGUCUUCGGAUCGUAAAACUCUGUUAUUAGGGAAGAACAAACGUGUAAGUAACUGUGCACGUCUUGACGGUACCUAAUCAGAAAGCCACGGCUAACUACGUG